GGCUACCGCUAUUGGAGUUCGAUUAAGCCAUGCGAGUCUAGAGGCCUAGCCUCGGCGUACCGCUCAGUAACACGUGGGUAACCUACCCUAUGCUGGGGAAUAAGCUCGGGGAACUGAGAAUAAUGCCCCAUAGUCCACUACGCCUGGAACGGUGAGUGAACUAAAGCUCCGGCGGCAUAGGAUGGGCCCGCGGCGUAUCAGGUUGUAGGGGGUGUAAUGUACCCUCUAGCCAUCCACGCGUACGGGUGUUGGGAGACAUUGCCCGGAGAUGGAUUCUGAGACACGAAUCCAGACCCUACGGGGUGCAGCAGGCGCGAAAACUUGGCAAUGCGAGAAAUCGUGACCAGGGAACUCCAAGUGGCAGGGGUAAGACCCUGUCUUUUUCCGACUCUAAAUAGGUCGGCGAAUAAGGGGUGGGUAAGGACGGUGCCAGCCGCCGCGGUAAUACCGGCGCCUCAAGUGGUAGUCGCUUUUAUUGGGCCUAAAACGUCCGUAGCCGGUCUGGUACAUUCGUGGGUAAAUCAACUCGCUCAACGAGUUGAAUUCUGCGAGGACGGCCAGACUUGGGACCGGGAGAGGUGUGGGGUACUCUCAGGGUAGGGGUAAAAUCCUGUCAUCCUGAGAGGACCACCUGUUGCGAAGGCUCCACACUAGAACGGAUCCGACGGUCAGGGACGAAGCCUAGGGGCACGAACCGGAUUAGAUACCCGGGUAGUCCUAGGUGUAAACGCUGUGGACUUGAUGUUGGGGACGCUCCGAGCGUUCUCAGUGUCGAAGCGAAGGUGAUAAGUCCACUGCCUGGGGAGUACGGUCGCAAGGCUGAAACUUAAAGGAAUUGGCGGGGGAGCACCGCAACCUGAGGAUUGUGCGGUUU
rnacentral:rRNA from 1 species